rnacentral:RNase_P_RNA from 1 species
GAAUCGAGCCAGGCCGCCGCUGGCACCUCUCGAGGGGCUGGAGGAAGGUCCGGACUGCACAGGGCGGCGUAGCAGCUAACGGCUGUCCACCGCGAGGUGAGGAUCAGAGCAACAGAGACGAGUCGGCGCCGGUCGCAAGGCCGCUGCCGGGUGAAACGGGCAAUCUCUACGCGCAGCAAUACCAAAUAGGCCGGCGCUGCGGCUUCGUGCCGCUGAAGUGUGGCUCCGCACGAGCCGGCGGGUAGGUAGCACCGAGCCGCGUAGCGAUGCGCGGCCCAGAGGAAUGGCGGCCACGGCGGCGACCGGCGACGGGAGCCGCCGCACAGAAUCCGGCCUAUCGGCUCGCUUCACGA